UUACAGAUGAACAAAAGAUGAAGAGUUCUAGGAGAGAGAUCAGGGAAUGUGACCUACUUCUUUCAUUGGUUUCUGAAGGGAAGUUUUGAAGCCUGGAGUGGGUGGCAGGGUGCAUUUUUGUUAAUGGAGUCAGAAAAUCCAGAUUUUGGUUUUGCAAUAAAAGGACUGAGCUGUGGAGGGACAUCCAAGCAGCAAAGACCACAGCUGUGAGCAGCCAGGCGGCCACACCAGGAGACAGGAAGUCAGGAACAAGAAAUAUGAUGAUGUCACCAUCCUGGGACAGAGAAUGAGGCCGCUGGUCCUGUGUGGCACAGGUUCAGCAAACGUCCAAAUGUCCUUCGCCCUGCAAUGGCACCAACAUGUGUAGUCUAGAAAACAAGAACCAGUCUGAGACAGGAGUCUCCUCUGAAUUUAAAUUUAAUUUUAGUCCAGUGCUGGAAAGAUGGACCGACAACAGGAGUGUUUGAAAAUU